GACAGAGGAUGCAAGCGUUAUCCGGAAUGAUUGGGCGUAAAGCGUCUGUAGGUGGCUUUUCAAGUCCGCCGUCAAAUCCCAGGGCUCAACCCUGGACAGGCGGUGGAAACUACCAAGCUGGAGUACGGUAGGGGCAGAGGGAAUUUCCGGUGGAGCGGUGAAAUGCGUAGAGAUCAGGAGGAACACCCGUAGCGAAGGCGGCACUCUGGGCCGAUACUGACACUGAGGAGCGAAAGCGUGGGGAGCGAACAGG
rnacentral:rRNA from 1 species